rnacentral:lncRNA from 1 species
GCAUGCUUCUUGAAAAACCCGAAAGCUACCUUUAUAACUACUCUGUUACGGCGUAGCGUUUGAUAGCCCCUAAGUAGAUCAAUCCACAUCUUGAAUACAUGCGACAAUCUCAGGUCUAAGGACAAAGCGUAUAUGUUGUUUAAAGAGAGAACUACUUCUCGUGUUGGGUCAAUCCUAGCACAUGUCUCCACAUCUGUCCACAUUAUUAGUUCAACAUCUCCAUGUCCAUGACUUGUGAAACAUAGUCAUCAACUAAUACAUGUGCUAGUCUAAUAUUCAUGUGUGUCCUCACAUGAACUCCGACUAGGGACAACUUUAGAAUAACCAUACAAGUAAAGAGUUUCACAUACAAUUCACAUAAUUGCAAAUCAAUUCAAGUAGCCUUUAAUGGAUAUUCAAUGAACACAAUAUACAAAUCAUGGAUACAAAUGGAAUAUCAUCAUCUCUAUGAUUGCCUCUAGGGCAUACCUCCAAUAGUCUCCCAC